rnacentral:rRNA from 1 species
AACGAACGCUGGCGGCAGGCCUAACACAUGCAAGUCGAGCGCGCCCUUCGGGGUGAGCGGCGGACGGGUGCGUAACGCGUGGGAACGUGCCCUUUUCUACGGAAUAGCCCCGGGAAACUGAGAGUAAUACCGUAUACGCUCUUCGGGGGAAAGAUUUAUCGGAAAAGGAUCGGCCCGCGUUGGAUUAGGUAGUUGGUGGGGUAAUGGCCUACCAAGCCGACGAUCCAUAGCUGGUUUGAGAGGAUGAUCAGCCACACUGGGACUGAGACACGGCCCAGACUCCUACGGGAGGCAGCAGUGGGGAAUCUUAGACAAUGGGGGCAAGCCUGAUCUAGCCAUGCCGCGUGAGUGAUGAAGGCCUUAGGGUUGUAAAGCUCUUUCAGCUGGGAAGAUAAUGACGGUACCAGCAGAAGAAGCCCCGGCUAACUCCGUG